GGACCCGCACAAGCGGUGGAUGAUGUGGAUUAAUUCGAUGCAACGCGAAAAACCUUACCUACCCUUGACAUGCCAGGAACUUGCCAGAGAUGGCUUGGUGCCCGAAAGGGAGCCUGGACACAGGUGCUGCAUGGCUGUCGUCAGCUCGUGUCGUGAGAUGUUGGGUUAAGUCCCGCAACGAGCGCAACCCUUGCCAUUAAUUGCCAUCAUUGAGUUGGGCACUUUAAUGGGACUGCCGGUGACAAACCGGAGGAAGGUGGGGAUGACGUCAAGUCCUCAUGGCCCUUAUGGGUAGGGCUUCACACGUCAUACAAUGGUCGGUACAGAGGGUUGCCAAGCCGCGAGGCGGAGCGAAUCUCACAAAGCCGAUCGUAGUCCGGAUCGUAGUCUGCAACUCGACUACGUGAAGUCGGAAUCGCUAGUAAUCGCGGAUCAGCAUGUCGCGGUGAAUACGUUCCCGGGUCUUGUACACACCGCCCGUCACACCAUGGGAGUGGGGUUCACCAGAAGAGGGUAGCCUAACCGCAAGGAGGGCGCUCGCCACGGUGAGCUUCAUGACUGGGGUGAAGUCGUAACAAGGUAGCCGUAUCGGAAGGUGCGGCU
rnacentral:rRNA from 1 species